AUUGAACGCUGGCGGCAUGCUUUACACAUGCAAGUCGAACGGUAACAGGGAGCUUGCUCCGCUGACGAGUGGCGAACGGGUGAGUAAUGCAUCGGAACAUGCCCAGUCAUGGGGGAUAACUACGCGAAAGCGUAGCUAAUACCGCAUACGCCCUGAGGGGGAAAGUGGGGGGUCGUUAGGACCUCACGUGAUUGGAGUGGCCGAUGUCAGAUUAGCUAGUUGGUGAGGUAAAGGCUCACCAAGGCGACGAUCUGUAGCGGGUCUGAGAGGAUGAUCCGCCACACUGGGACUGAGACACGGCCCAGACUCCUACGGGAGGCAGCAGUGGGGAAUUUUGGACAAUGGGCGCAAGCCUGAUCCAGCCAUGCCGCGUGAGUGAAGAAGGCCUCGGUUGUAAGACUCUUUCGUCAAGGGAAGAAAACGGACGAAGGUUAAUAACC
rnacentral:rRNA from 1 species